CUGUGGGUUGCCCGCUGCAGCCUCCCCUAGCAGCACCACGCUGUAACACUUGCUGCGGCGAGAGCAGCCGGAGCCCUGACCGCUGCUUGGGUUUUUAUAGGAGUGCAUGUGUCUGCAGGAAGCAGCUGUCCUCGCCGGCCAAGGACGCGGGGAAUGGACUGCAGGAGAGACAAGCUUUACUCUUUCCCUUACUUCUCCAAGCUUAGGCGCAGCUUUACUCACUGCAGAUGCAGAAGAAACAUUCAGGAGAGGAAACGCGCUGGUUCCGUUGUCAAAGCGCUGUGGGACUUUCCUCGCCGGUUGGAAAUACUGAAGCGCAGAUGAAUGAGGACCUCCAUGCGAGCGCGUUUUGGAAAAGCGAGCGCGUUUUGGAAAAGCUGCUGUAUCCAAGCUUCUGUCUGCACAUACUGGUCCUGCAGUGAUUGCUGCCAGUAUGAUGAACUGCCAGCCAAAGCUGUUGAGCAGCAAGGUUUGUGAAAAGUGCUUCCACUUGCAGAAAAGUAUCAUUUCUCAAACUGCACAGCAAUUUCAGAAGUGACGCUUUGCAAAGUCACAGAGCAAGAACAGGACUUUCUUGGCAGUAGGUGAGUGUCAUUUCCUGGCAGGUGCGGGUGAGCGAACUUUCUAACCUAAACAAAAUCCGCACUUCCUGGUGCCCUUUCCAUGGCUGCCGUGGUUUUGUUUGUGCAGAUGUAGGUGGCAAGAAGUAAAGCUGCAACUGCCAGUUAAUUAUUGGCACUUUCUUAGCCCUAGACCCCUGGGAACAGAUUUCCUUGCACUAACCAGCUGCAAGUGGAGAGUUACUAAGGGAGCUCCUGUUCGUGAAAUCGUAAAUCCUGGCACCAGAGGAGUGAGUGCGAAGGGCUCAGGAAGAAGGAGAUGCAGAUGAUUUUAUAUUAUGCCAGGCAAGUUGGUCUUAUUAUUUAAUGCAGCACUGGACUCUGUUGUGCUUCUGUACACAGAAAACAAACCAUUUUACCUUCAGGCUUUUAUCUGCACAGAUGGAAAACGAGAGCAAUGGGAAGGGCUGUGUGAGUGAACACUCUCCAUCUUCUCUGUAACAGUCUGCAGCUAACACACAUUAGGGAGACCUAAAUGAGACAUGUUGUGGUGCACA
rnacentral:lncRNA from 1 species